rnacentral:rRNA from 1 species
AGCAGCCGCGGUAAUUCCAGCUCCAAUAGCGUAUAUUAAAGUUGUUGCAGUUAAAAAGCUCGUAGUUGAAUUUCGGGGUUAGUAGAUUGGUCAUGCCUUUGGUAUGUACUGGUCUUACUGAUUCCUCCUUCCUGAUGAACCGUAAUGCCAUUAAUUUGGUGUUGCGGGGAGACUGGACUGUUACUUUGAAAAAAUUAGAGUGUUUAAAGCAGGCUAACGCUUGAAUACAUUAGCAUGGAAUAAUGAAAUAGGACGUUCGAUCUUAUUUUGUUGGUUUCUAGGAUUGACGUAAUGAUUAAUAGGGAUAGUUGGGGGCAUUAGUAUUCAAUUGUCAGAGGUGAAAUUCUUGGAUUUAUUGAAGACUAACUACUGCGAAAGCAUUUGCCAAGGAUGUUUUCAUUAAUCAAGAACGAAAGUUAGGGAAUCGAAGACGAUCAGAUACCGUCGUAGUCUUAACCAUAAACUAUGCCGACUAGGGAUCGGAUGAUGUUAAUUUUUUAAUGACUCA